rnacentral:rRNA from 1 species
UUAAAUUGAAGAGUUUGAUCAUGGCUCAGAUUGAACGCUGGCGGCAGGCCUAACACAUGCAAGUCGAACGGUAACAGGAAACAGCUUGCUGUUUCGCUGACGAGUGGCGGACGGGUGAGUAAUGUCUGGGAAACUGCCCGAUGGAGGGGGAUAACUACUGGAAACGGUAGCUAAUACCGCAUAACGUCGCAAGACCAAAGAGGGGGACCUUCGGGCCUCUUGCUAUCGGAUGUGCCCAGAUGGGAUUAGCUAGUAGGUGGGGUAACGGCUCACCUAGGCGACGAUCCCUAGCUGGUCUGAGAGGAUGACCAGCCACACUGGAACUGAGACACGGUCCAGACUCCUACGGGAGGCAGCAGUGGGGAAUAUUGCACAAUGGGCGCAAGCCUGAUGCAGCCAUGCCGCGUGUAUGAAGAAGGCCUUCGGGUUGUAAAGUACUUUCAGCGGGGAGGAAGGGAGUAAAGUUAAUACCUUUACUCAUUGACGUUACCCGCAGAAGAAGCACCGGCUAACUCCGUGCCAGCAGCCGCGGUAAUACGGAGGGUGCAAGCGUUAAUCGGAAUUACUGGGCGUAAAGCGCACGCAGGCGGUUUGUUAAGUCAGAUGUGAAAUCCCCGGGCUCAACCUGGGAACUGCAUCUGAUACUGGCAAGCUUGAGUCUCGUAGAGGGGGGUAGAAUUCCAGGUGUAGCGGUGAAAUGCGUAGAGAUCUGGAGGAAUACCGGUGGCGAAGGCGGCCCCCUGGACGAAGACUGACGCUCAGGUGCGAAAGCGUGGGGAGCAAACAGGAUUAGAUACCCUGGUAGUCCACGCCGUAAACGAUGUCGACUUGGAGGUUGUGCCCUUGAGGCGUGGCUUCCGGAGCUAACGCGGUAAGUCGACCGCCUGGGGAGUACGGCCGCAAGGUUAAAACUCAAAUGAAUUGACGGGGGCCCGCACAAGCGGUGGAGCAUGUGGUUUAAUUCGAUGCAACGCGAAGAACCUUACCUGGUCUUGACAUCCACGGAAGUUUUCAGAGAUGAGAAUGUGCCUUCGGGAACCGUGAGACAGGUGCUGCAUGGCUGUCGUCAGCUCGUGUUGUGAAAUGUUGGGUUAAGUCCCGCAACGAGCGCAACCCUUAUCCUUUGUUGCCAGCGGUCCGGCCGGGAACUCAAAGGAGACUGCCAGUGAUAAACUGGAGGAAGGUGGGGAUGACGUCAAGUCAUCAUGGCCCUUACGACCAGGGCUACACACGUGCUACAAUGGCGCAUACAAAGAGAAGCGACCUCGCGAGAGCAAGCGGACCUCAUAAAGUGCGUCGUAGUCCGGAUUGGAGUCUGCAACUCGACUCCAUGAAGUCGGAAUCGCUAGUAAUCGUGGAUCAGAAUGCCACGGUGAAUACGUUCCCGGGCCUUGUACACACCGCCCGUCACACCAUGGGAGUGGGUUGCAAAAGAAGUAGGUAGCUUAACCUUCGGGAGGGCGCUUACCACUUUGUGAUUCAUGACUGGGGUGAAGUCGUAACAAGGUAACCGUAGGGGAACCUGCGGUUGGAUCACCUCCUUACCUUAAAGAAGC